UUUUCAGAGAUGAGAAUGUGCCUUCGGGAACCGUGAGACAGGUGCUGCAUGGCUGUCGUCAGCUCGUGUUGUGAAAUGUUGGGUUAAGUCCCGCAACGAGCGCAACCCUUAUCCUUUGUUGCCAGCGAUUCGGUCGGGAACUCAAAGGAGACUGCCAGUGAUAAACUGGAGGAAGGUGGGGAUGACGUCAAGUCAUCAUGGCCCUUACGACCAGGGCUACACACGUGCUACAAUGGCGCAUACAAAGAGAAGCGACCUCGCGAGAGCAAGCGGACCUCAUAAAGUGCGUCGUAGUCCGGAUUGGAGUCUGCAACUCGACUCCAUGAAGUCGGAAUCGCUAGUAAUCGUGGAUCAGAAUGCCACGGUGAAUACGUUCCCGGGCCUUGUACACACCGCCCGUCACACCAUGGGAGUGGGUUGCAAAAGAAGUAGGUAGCUUAACCUUCGGGAGGGCGCUUACCACUUUGUGAUUCAUGACUGGGGUGAAGUCGUAACAAGGUAACCGUAGGGGAACCUGCGGUUGGAUCACCUCCUUACCUGAAAGAAGC
rnacentral:rRNA from 1 species